AAGACAAACAAAAAACAAAGUUAUCUCCACGAACCUUGAUGUCUUGGAAAUAUAGAUGGGGUGGAUAAGGAUGGGGAACAACUAAUGGUCUUGAAAAUCUGACCCGGCACAGAGAUGAUCCAGAAUGAAAAACUUUAACUUUAAUGAGUUUCUGUUCCCAGACAUGUCCACACUGACUUUCUAGCAAUUACAGUAUUAGUUUUCUCCCUCAAACGCUGGCUUCCAUGAAGAUUUCUGCCUGUGACUUCCUGGUAUGAAAUGAUACAUUCUGCUUCAUUUACCAAUUCGCAGAGGAGACUUGUAGCAGAUGUGGAAAGCUUGGAAAAUAUAGUGGAUCAAAGACAGGGAGGAAAGCCGCUCAUCCCUAAGACCAAGGCCUGUGACAAGACAGGAACAUCAGGGAAGAAGAACGUGGUGAAAGACUGCUUCCCACCUCAUGGCAGACAUGAAACAGAGAGAGAAGAAUCUACCAUCAAAAUACGCCCUUUAAAUACACGAUCACCGUGAUCUACUGCUGCGACUAAGUCCCACCAUCAGUAGCUCAUUCGGACUUGGAAUACUCCAUUCACCAAUGGAUUGGCCCCCUUAUGAUCCAACACUCUUUGGGUCAACAGCUGGGGUCAAGUUCCUAAAACACGAUGCCCUGUGAGACGUCCCUCAAUGUAUAACAUUACACCUUGGCUCUCGAAGGUUUAUCUCACAAUGAAGCUGAAAAUUGUCUUUUCAAGAGCUAUGAAGCAUUGUGUUGGCCAUAAAAUCAUUGCUCAGCUUAACAGGCAAGCUUUCUCA
rnacentral:lncRNA from 1 species